UACGGGGGGGGCAAGCGUUGUUCGGAAUUACUGGGCGUAAAGGGCUCGUAGGUGGCCAACUAAGUCAGACGUGAAAUCCCUCGGCUUAACCGGGGAACUGCGUCUGAUACUGGAUGGCUUGAGUUUGGGAGAGGGACGCGGAAUUCCAGGUGUAGCGGUGAAAUGCGUAGAUAUCGGAAGGAACACCAAUGGCGAAGGCAGCUUCCUGGCCCAAUACUGACACUCAGGUGCGAAAGCGUGGGGAUCAAACAGG
rnacentral:rRNA from 1 species